GACGUAGGAGGCAAGCGUUGUCCGGAUUUACUGGGCGUAAAGUGUCCGUAGGUGGGACCUUAAGCAGGCGGUGAAAGCGCCCGGCUUAACCGGGCGAGGUCCGACUGAACUGGGGACCUGGAGGGUCGGCGAGGCAGACGGAAUUCCCGCGGGAGCGGUAAAAUGCGUAGAGCGCGGGAGGAACACCGGUGGCGAAAGCGGUCUGCUGGACGACACCUGACACUGAGGGACGAAAGCGUGGGGAGCGAACUGA
rnacentral:rRNA from 1 species